AUUGAACGCUAGCGGGAUGCCUUACACAUGCAAGUCGAACGGAGUGGCGAACGGGUGAGUAAUGUAUAGGAACGUGCCCAGUAGCGGGGGAUAACUACGCGAAAGCGUAGCUAAUACCGCAUACUCUUGGAGCGGCCGAUAUCGGAGUAGCUAGAUGGUGGGGUAACGGCUCACCAAGGCGACGAUCCGUAGCUGGUUUGAGAGGACGACCAGCCACACUGGGACUGAGACACGGCCCAGACUCCUACGGGAGGCAGCAGUGGGGAAUUUUGGACAAUGGGGGAAACCCUGAUCCAGCCAUCCCGCGUGUGCGAAGAAGGCCUUCGGGUUGUAAAGCACUUUUGGCAGGGAAGCGUUACCUGCAGAAGAAGCACCGGCUAACUACGUGCCAGCAGCCGCGGUAAUUC
rnacentral:rRNA from 1 species